rnacentral:rRNA from 1 species
GGGGGGGCGAAGAACCUUACCUGGGCUUGACAUGCACGGGAAAGCCGGUGGAAACAUGGGCCCCUCUUUGGAGGUCGUGCACAGGUGGUGCAUGGCUGUCGUCAGCUCGUGUCGUGAGAUGUUGGGUUAAGUCCCGCAACGAGCGCAACCCUCGUCCCUAGUUACCAGCGGGUAAAGGCGGGGACUUUAGGGAGACUGCCGGUGUCAAACCGGAGGAAGGUGGGGAAGACGUCAAGUCAUCAUGGCCCUUACGUCCAGGGCUACACACGUGCUACAAUGGCCGGUACAAAGGGUUGCGAAACGGUGAGAGUGAGCCAAUCCCCAAAAGCCGGUUUCAGUUCGGAUUGGAGUCUGCAACUCGACUCCAUGAAGUCGGAAUCGCUAGUAAUCGGGAUUAGCC